GAUGAACGCUGGCGGCGUGCUUAACACAUGCAAGUCGAACGGAAAGGCCCCUGCUUGCAGGGGUACUCGAGUGGCGAAAGGGGGAGUAACACGUGGGGGAUCUGGCCUGCACUUCGGGAUAAGCCUGGGGAACUGGGGCUAAUACCGGGUAGGGCGAUGGGUUGGAUGGCCUUGUGGGAAGUUUUUCGGGGUGGGGUGGGCUCGCGGCCUAUCAGCUUGUUGGUGGGGUAAUGGCCUACCAAGGCGUCGACGGGUAGCCGGCCUGAGAGGGGGUACGGCCACAUUGGGACUGAGAUACGGCCCAGACUCCUACGGGAGGCAGCAGUGGGGAAUAUUGCACAAUGGGCGCAAGCCUGAUGCAGCGACGCCGCGUGGGGGAUGACGGCCUUCGGGUUGUAAACUCCUUUCGCUAGGGACGAAGCGCAAGUGACGGUACCUGGAGAAGAAGCACCGGCUAACUACGUG
rnacentral:rRNA from 1 species